UCGCUCUAAUGCCCCUCAGCACUUCUCAGUGCCCCUCAGUGCUUCCAGUGCCCCUCAGCUCCUCUUAAUGCCCCUCAGCGCCUCUUAAUGCCCCUCAGCGCUUCUCAGUGCCCUUCAGAGCUUCCAUUGCCCCUCAAUGCCUCUUAAUGCCCCUCAGCACUUCCAUUGCCCCUCAGCACCUUUUAAUGCCCCUCAGUGCUUCCAUUGCCCCUCAGCACCACUUAAUGCCCCUCAGCGCUUCCAUUGCCCCUCAGCACAUCUUAAUGCCCCUCUGCACCCCUCGCUCCUUCUUGCUUUUAUUUCCCUGCUGCAAUAUUGGCUGUAGUUGCAGCAAGACCAGCAACAGCCUCCGAGUUUCUGUGUGAAUGCCCCGUGCUGGAAUAUUCAGUCCUUAAAAGCUGAAGAAAACAAACAUCCUGGUAAUGAACCGGCACGUUACACCUGUAAUAGCACAAAGUAAACCGUGCUCUGUGCCAAUAACAUUGGUGUUUUUUGUUCUACUUACUCAGAAGGCCACAAGUUCUUUAUUAAACAGCCUUGAUUGAAACUCGCACGCUAGAAUCUACUUUCGAAGAUAGACAAAUUAACUCGGUUUGUGUUUAAAACACUGCAUGUGUUAUGUUAGAUAGUUGAAGCUGAUUCCCACCGUAAGCACACAGAUCACCUGGUAGCUGUAUUUCUGCCCGCAGAAGGCAGGUCCUGGGCAGGAGGGCUGCAAAGCAGGCAGAGCUGAUUCCUGUGGGUGCCAGGCAGCCUGGGAAGGCACGAGGACCUUGGUGGCAGCCCAGCAGCAAGGAGCAGCAGGAACCAAGUGUUGAAUCAACGUGAGGUCCUGCCAACUGUUUCCAUUGGUGACCCUUUGAUGCUUCCCCAGUCUUGAUGCUGAACACAGAGACUUAGAAGACUUCCAAGUGCUGUUGGUUCUUGAACUCAAAGCCUGUGUCGUGAAUCAUGGCUGUAUCCUCCAGGGGAUCCUCGGUUCCUAUGGGGUUUGUAAGUGUCCUGGUACGAGUCAGAGUACUCUUCUUCCACUAGAGGAUAGUGAUCUCGGCUGUGUUGGGAACUGGAAGACAAGCGGUUCCUGCUCUUCCGAGCCCUUUCGUUGUGAUAAUUUUCAUCUGAGGUCAUGAGACUUCGUCGCUCAAUUGGAGAGUUCUCUGUAGAAUGGCUGCUGUGCCUCAUACGCUGGCUCUACGAGUACCAAAGAAUCCAAGCGUUAGCACAAAUAAAGAGCAUUCAGUAUUUUUAA